UGCCCAUUCCUGGCCCAGCAGAGCCCCCUUU
rnacentral:piRNA from 2 species